CCGUCAAUAGCGCAGCCUGGUAGCGUAACUGGUUUGGGGCCAGUGGGUCGGGGGUUCAAAUCCCUCUUGGCGGACCA
rnacentral:tRNA from 1 species